CCUACGGGAGACAGCAGUGGGGAAUAUUGGGCAAUGGGCGCAAGCCUGACCCAGCAACGCCGCGUGAAGGAAGAAGGCCCUCGGGUUGUAAACUUCUUUUAUCAAGGACGAAACAAAUGACGGUACUUGAUGAAUAAGCCACGGCUAACUACGUGCCAGCCGCCGCGGUAAUACGUAGGUGGCAAGCGUUAUCCGGAUUUACUGGGUGUAAAGGGCGAGUAGGCGGGAUUGCAAGUCAGAUGUGAAAACUAUGGGCUCAACCGAUAGAGUGCAUUUGAAACUGCAGUUCUUGAGUGAUGGAGAGGCAGGCGGAAUUCCCGGUGUAGCGGUGGAAUGCGUAGAUAUCGGGAGGAACACCAGUGGCGAAGGCGGCCUGCUGGACAUUAACUGACGCUGAGGCGCGAAAGCGUGGGGAGCAAACAGGAUUAGAUACCCGUGUAGUC
rnacentral:rRNA from 1 species